AUAGGAUUUGGGCUGCAUUGUCUUUGAGACGGGAAGAACAUGUGUAAACACAUUCUCGACGUAACUGGUAACCUUUCCGUACGUAUCGAUGAGUCAAACAGCUCCUAUCAAAACCGCCCAGCUUGUGUACCUUUAAAUGAGAAAAUGAGACAAAACGCUUGAACCACGCUUUAUCUUGGCCAACAAGAUGCUCGGACAUACACUGAAAGGAUGGUAUCUCCAAAAAACCCCGAAUGAUCUGUGCCAAAGACUGCGCUGUUUCCCUACUGCAGCGAAUCUCUCCCGGCAUUAGUAUUUCUCCGCCACAGUUUUAACGGGUGUGCUGCCCUGGACGGAGGAGAAACAGAGGCUGUGUAACGUGAACAAGCGAUCAUUUUUCCUUCGCUCUCGUUCUGAACCAUGAACUCUGAUUCUGCAGCAUGGUGAGCUGUAAACCACACACAGAGAUGACCCCUUAGAAGUGACCCUGACAUGCACCCAUUUCCAGUCCCACACCGCCGCACUGUCCCGUUGCUGCUGUCUUUAGUCGUCAUAGCGACUCAGAUGUCGCAAGGAGCGCGGUGCGACCCCAAGUGGUACGAAGCCAUAAAAGAGAUGAAAAAAGUGAUCAACGACGUCAUCCCUAAAACCAACAACAGCAUAAACUGCACACUGUACACCCCUGACUCAUCGCUGGUUAACAACUGUAUGAGGACAGCACUGGGCUGCUUCUCCGACGAGUUACACGUCAUGAUUUUCGAGUUUGGCGACCUGCAAAAAGCGUGGACUGUGACGAGAAUGCUGACGGGAAUCAAAGAGAGAGUGGUGGACACUGGUGCCUGUGCUCAGUGUGAGACCUACCAGGAGAAGUCAGUGGGAGUGUUUCUGACGAACCUGCUGAAUUUCCUGCAGCUCCUGGUGUCCUCUGACAUGCUUGGCACGUAGCGCUGGUGCCUGAGCGUCACACAGAGAGAGCCGGGGCCACAACAACUGCUUCCCGACGGUCACACAUUCCACUAGUUCGAGUCGAGGCUAGAAUGUGCUUUUUGGAACUGGAACAAUCUGACUUGACAGUGCCAGGGAAGACAGUGUAAAACAUAAUCUGCUGCGCACUGACAAGCCUGUUCCUCCUCCUGGAUGUGUUUUAAACAAUGAUUUUGAUUCCAGACUAGCACCCUGCUGGAUCCCGACUCUCCCUGGAUACAACUCUGUUUGCUGUUUUUGAAUCCUCUGUACCCCCCCCCCCCCCCCCCCCCCCC